UGCUUAGCAUAAUCUUUGGUUCCAUCC
rnacentral:piRNA from 1 species